AUCACCUGUGGGUUCAGAAUCAGAGACCUCCAGCUUAUAUCCCCAUUUUGGGGUAAUUGGAUGGCUGUAUUCAUAGAGCAGCCGGCCCCUGUUUGCUAGCUGAAUGUCGUAACCUGAAUGGCUGUGAUACUGGACAUGCAAAAAUCACAUGUGGCUAUGACCUGCCUGCAAAAUCAAAUUUGGAUGCCAGAAAGCUAUUGAAACUGAAUCGUCUCCUACACCUGAAGAGAUCUAUUACUUCAAUCACUCCACCGAAAAAUCCACCAAAGAUUAAGUAUGUUUCUCUAUUUGAUUCCUGCAGGUUAGGAUUGUUACAAAGCACAAUGACUUAAUGAAAUCUCAAUACUUGUGGCCAAAAUAACAUAGGAUGGAGAGCCAUAGUUUAAAAGUUUAAAAGCUUUGGAGGUCAUCUAGGACACUGAAAUUCUGCGUGCAACUUGUUUAGCUGGAAAACAAAAAGCAUGAAGAUAAGACUGGAAGAUGAACAUCUCAUACCAUCAAUAUAUGGGUGAUUAGAAGCUCUACAACAAUUCUAAAACCCAGCCUAAUAAAGUAUGAAACGUUCUGAGGAAUGUUCAUAAAGACAUGCAAAUGGACUUUGAAAUGGAAAAAAUGCAAAUCAGUUGAGGUGGCACAGGGCCAAUUUACCCAUUCUCUCUCAGGGAAUAUCAGAGCUUCACACAUUUAAUGGGAAAUGUACACAUGCUAACUUCUUUCAGGUGAAAAAAAGAUUCCACCUGCAACUAAUAUUAAAUAUUUGAGAUUUGUUUGCCACUG
rnacentral:sRNA from 1 species